rnacentral:misc_RNA from 1 species
UUGAAUCCUCAGGAUGUUGCUGGCCUCUCGAGGCAUGUGCACUCCACCUUUUCAAUACACCUGUGAACUUAUUGUAGGCGGCAGAUGUCAUGUCUGUCACCUACGUUUUUACAAACCCCUUACAAGUUAUUGAAUGUCUAAACAAUGGCUUUGGCCAAUAAACAUAAUA